CCUACGGGUGGUAGCAGUGAGGAAUAUUGGUCAAUGGGCGCAAGCCUGAACCAGCCAAGUCGCGUGAGGGAUGACGGUCCUAUGGAUUGUAAACCUCUUUUGUCGGGGAGCAAGGCCCGCCACGUGUGGCGGGAAGGAGAGUACCCGAAGAAAAAGCAUCGGCUAACUCCGUGCCAGCAGCCGCGGUAAUACGGAGGAUGCGAGCGUUAUCCGGAUUUAUUGGGUUUAAAGGGUGCGUAGGCGGAAGGUUAAGUCAGCGGUCAAAUGUCCGGGCUCAACCCGGGCCUUGCAGCGCGAACUGGCGUGCUUGAGUCCGCGGAAAGCAGGCGGAAUUCGUCGUGUAGCGGUGAAAUGCUUAGAUAUGACGAAGAACCCCGAUUGCGAAGGCAGCUUGCUGCAGCGGAACUGACGCUGAUGCUCGAAAGCGCGGGUAUCGAACAGGAUUAGAUACCCGUGUAGUC
rnacentral:rRNA from 1 species